rnacentral:lncRNA from 1 species
CGAAAAACUGAAACUUGUUGCUAUCAAAAGAAAAAGAACGGCAUGAGCGUCGCAACUACAAUUAACCAAAAUAAUUGAUUUUUUCAAUCUAAACAAGGAUUUAGCGGAAGGAAAAUUCAACGCUCUUCACGGAAAAGAAGAAGCACAAAGAAAAUGGACUGAACUAGCGGCAGAGCUAAAUACUUUAUAAAAAGCUACAAAAACGGUGGAUCAGUGGCAAGUGGUUUGGAGAGACUUAAAAAGCCGUGUUUCCAUUAAAGUAAAAGAAUUGUGUAAAGCAAAAGCUUUAACAGGAAAUAAACCAAUAACUCAAUCUGAGCUUUCUGAUUUUGAACUUCGUGUGCUUGGCAUAGUUGGAACUGAAUAUGUGGAAGGACACACAGAUUGUCCAGAGAGUAUUCCUGACGAGGAGAAUUUAUUAGAAGAACUGGAACAUGGAAAUAUUUCUGUUUUAUCGGAGACUCCAAACGUAAUCACUGUCUGCCCAAGUACCUCUAAAAAAAUUUCUGCGGACACUCCAUAUGCAUAUGUUAAUCUCUUGGAUGAUAAUGAUGAUGAUUCAAUUAUCAAUGACAAAUCACUUCACUACACAAGAAAGAAAUAUAAAGAUUCAGAAGCUAUUCAAAAUGAUAAUAAUGUUGACAAUACCGAAUUAAUAAAAAAAUCAAAAAUUUUUAUUAUCUCUUCUUCAAAAAAAACAAUAAAUACUCCAUAUCCACCAAUUGAAUCAAAGCCAACGGUACUAUCAAAAAGAUCAUCAGAAACUAUUUCUAAAGCGACUUCAAGAUUUAAUUUUUUUGGGUAAUGAUGAUGACGACUUAAAUAUCGAUGACAAAUCACCUCAGUAUACAAGAAGGGAAUAUGAAGAUUCAGAAGCUAUUGAUAAUAAUAAUGAUGUUGAUAAUUGCAAAUCAAGAAAAAAUUCAAAAAUUUCUAUCUCGUCUUUAAAAAAAAAUACUCCAUAUUCAUCUAUUGCAUCGAAGUCAAUGGUAUCAAAAAGAUUAUCAGAAACUAUUCCUAAAGCGACUUUAUCAAGAAAGUGUAAGUCUUAUAAAUACCUCCUUUUCUGCGAUGCUGAUUGGAUGCUGGUGCGUUCCGAUAUAUUCGCGGGAAGUAGCGUAGCGCUCGAGCGCUUCGUCAUCCAUAACCUAUUUGUUACUCUGCUCUUUCGUGUUACAUAAUAGUAGUGCGUUAAGAAAGAAGUAAAAAGAAUCUCGAAGAGGAGAAGGAGAAAGAGAGAAAGAAGAAAAGUCGAAUAAAGAAGGUAUGUAAAUAUGUGCAUAAAUAAUGCUCUUUUUUAAAAGAAAGUAUGAAAAACUUUGAUCGCAAA